GUGGGACACCGUAAAGUUUAGAGGAAACUGAUUAGUCUGCUUUCGCUUGUAUCGACUGUAUUUUUAGUAUCCGUCCAACAGCCGGAGCUCAGCAGGUAGUUGCGCUUAGAGAACAUAUUGGAUAUUUUUUCUGUUCCUUGCUGUAAAGUUGGAAUUAGAAGUCAAAGACCCGUUUAACAACAGCAGAGGCGGGGUGCACUUUGUUAAUAGCGCGACUGUUAAGCACAGCUAAUUAGCUAGCAUUCGUUUCCUUGUUCGGCGGCUCGCGGGAUGUCAUUCAGGAAAACUUUGAAACUUAUUUGCGGCUUCGCUGGAGGCUCAGCAGUCUUGGUUUUCGCUGCCGCAGCCGCCGACUCCAGCGGUUUUUUUGGAGAGCAGGGCGGAGAGAGGGUCAGUCGGUGGUCGAGAUUCACCGUCCUUCAAGCUGCCCAGCCGGCGUUUACCCCUGCCAGCCACACGCCAACCCCGACCGGACACGCCUGGGACUUCAACUGGGACAAGAGAGAUCCAUCUGCUCUGACCAACGGGAAGAAGAAGGAGAAUGCGACCGAAGACCCCACCUCGGAGCAGAACAACAGCAAACCGAAAGCUACACGCAACAUCCUCCUCAUCAGACACUCCCAGUACAACUUGAGCGGGAAUAGUGACAAGGAGAAGAUCCUCACUCCUUUAGGCCGUGAACAGGCCGAGCUGACUGGCCAAAGGUUGGCUGCACUUGGAUUGAAGUAUGACGUGUUAAUCCACUCCAGCAUGACCAGGGCCACGGAGACAGCAAAUAUAAUCAGUAAAUACCUCCCAGGUCCAGGAGUGGAGUUGGUGAGAUGUGACUUGCUGCGAGAAGGUGCGCCUAUUGAACCGGUUCCACCUGUCACUCACUGGAAGCCUGACGCUGUGCAGUACCACGAAGAUGGAGCUCGCAUUGAGGCAGCCUUCCGCCGCUACAUCCACCGGGCUGACCCCAAACAGAAGGAGGACAGCUACGAGAUCAUCGUGUGUCAUGCCAAUGUCAUCCGUUAUUUUGUCUGCAGGGCUCUUCAGUUUCCUCCAGAGGGCUGGUUACGCAUGGGUUUGAAUAAUGGCAGCAUCACAUGGCUUACCAUCCGCCCCAGCGGUAGGGUGGCCCUCAGGACUCUUGGAGAUGCAGGAUUUAUGCCCGCAGACAAACUAACACGGACCUGAUGGGCUGACCCAUGAAAUGUUUCUCCUUAAGUGUCUUCAAAUAAAUUAUGGUGUUGUUUUGUAAUUGAACUCUGAUGUUAUCAGAGACUUUGUGGUGGUGUUGUUACUUCAGUGCCAUAGGAUGCCAGCAGAAGUGAUUAACAGCUGCAUAGCAACUCCUCCUGAAUGUAAUGAAGAAUUUUUACACAAGUGACUCAUUUUUUUCAAACCAAAAAAAUAAAUAUUUGUAAAGCUGUUGAACAUGCUAUUAGCUUAACAUUUCAGGAUUAUGUUGUGGUGCCAUUGUAGUGAAUAAAAUCAUGAAUGCA